AGCACGUGUCUCUCAAACCACUUUAUCAGCACAGACUGAGAGACCGGUUUGUUUGUAUGUGAACUUAUGCGUUCAGACAGGACAGUCAGCCUUCCGCUGCGUACACCGCUCCAUUCAAACACACGAAAUGCACACAACCCC
rnacentral:ribozyme from 1 species